GACGAACGCUGGCGGCGUGCUUAACACAUGCAAGUCGAACGCGCCUGUCCUCUGGGUUUCUGGGGGGUGGGUGAGUGGCGAACGGGUGAGUAACACGUGAGUAACCUGCCCCCUUCUUCGGGAUAACGGUCUGAAAGGGCUGCUAAUACCGGGUAUUCACUGGUCUCCGCAUGGGGUCUGGUGGAAAGGUUUUUUUCUGGUGGGGGAUGGGCUCGCGGCCUAUCAGCUUGUUGGUGGGGUGAUGGCCCACCAAGGCUUUGACGGGUAGCCGGCCUGAGAGGGUGACCGGUCACAUUGGGACUGAGAUACGGCCCAGAAUACUACGGGAGGCAGCAGUGGGGAAUAUUGCACAAUGGGCGCAAGCCUGAUGCAGCGACGCCGCGUGAGGGAUGGAGGCCUUCGGGUUGUGAACCUCUUUCGCCCGUGGUCAAGCCGCGACGUGGGUCGUGGUGAGGGUAGUGGGUAAAGAAGCGCCGGCUAACUACGUG
rnacentral:rRNA from 1 species